GAGUUGUCUGCCAGGGAAAUCCCAACACAUAUGAUGACGUUUAUGUUACAAGGUAGACAAUCCUUUUUCAUCAUUGACGUGAGGAAAGGUAUCCUAGACGUUGAUCUAGCGUUAUGCACAGCCAUGCUGUAGCCCAGCAAGUAGC